UGCAUCGGCCGGGAAUCGAACCCGGGCCGCCCGCGUGGCAGGCGAGCAUUCUACCGAUGCUUAAAAAAAAUGGAC
rnacentral:tRNA from 1 species